GUAAGAAUGAGUCGGUGCUAAUUUUUGAAUUGCUAACGGUAAUAUUCUGAGGUCUAGGGUUCCACUUAAAACUCUCUUAUACUCUGCGCAUAACCACUUAAAACUCUCUUAUACUCUGCGCAUAACCACUUUGAAACUUCAGCGGUAUUUCUCUAUCGAUGGAGAUUACUCAAAGUUCCAAAAACCCUAAUUUCUUUCUUUUCUUUUACUCCCUUUCAAUUCGUAUAUUUUCAUGAAUUUUCAGCCCAUGAAAUUGUUAAAUAUUGCUAAGAUUGGAUGAAUGUAUACGCAGUGAUAUUACUAUUUCAGUGUAUAGGCAGUCAUUUACCCUUUUUGUCCAAAUUGAUUAGCAAAAAUUCCCGAGUUAUUUAUUUGCUUGACGAUCAGUCUCAUUGGUGUUUUCAAUUUUUCUCCUGUUUUUUAUUAUUAUUUUAUUCAAUAAAAGAGGGUUUUUGGAUUUUUUUUUUUUUUUCCAAAUAUGAUAUCAAGAGCGGAUUCCUUCACCAGCAGGGUGUUGGUUUAUGGGAACUUUAUUCUUUUAUCGAAGUGUAAGAUGAUGCUGAUAAAGUCCUUAUGGUGGAAGUUGAGACUUCCUGCAGAGUGGAGUUGCUACCUGACUUGCAAUGUUGCAACUGAGAGCACUGGCUGUAAUCUUUAAUGUAGUUUUCAUGAAAUUUCUUAUGCAGAAUCUUUUUGGCUAAGACAAUGGAUAGCUGCAGAAGUUUUAGUUAAUAAGAAAAGAACUAAAUCUGGUAAAAACAAAGGUACAAGAAAAGAAGUAGAACUAAAUCUAAUGGCUCAGAAAGUCUUUCCGAUGUUGAUGAUUCUGAGGCAUAUCCUUUGUUGUUUCACAUGCAUUAUCGUUUAAACUCUGGCAAUGGUUCUCACAAGUGUUUUUUAUGAUGGUAAAUUACUUUCAUGCUUUCCAUUAGAAUACCUUUACUUUUGUUUGAAUAAUCAAAACUUCUAUGCACCCUGUAAGUUUCUAAUGCUUCUUCUUUAGUCCUGUACUUUGCUGAAAUCUUUUAACGAAAUUUUUUCGUUCGUUGAUAAUAUCUAACAUUUUCACCAGCUGAUAAGUCAUUUAGAAUUUCAUAUCGUGAAAAAGAAAAGGAUGCAUAUUUCAGAAUAUGAUAGGGAAUCAAGCAUUUAUCACUAGACACAUGAGUUGGGGAAGCAUUUAAGCAAUUUUUUAUGCUCUUCAGAUUGUUGGAUAUCUUAACAACAAAAAGUUGAUGCAUUUGAAAAGGAUGUUAUGGGAAGCCAUGAUUAAAGAACAUUGUAAAGGUUAAGAAACAAAAAGCAGAAAUUGAAACAAAGAAAAUUACCCCUGCUCGGAAAGCUGUUAAAACCACCGAGAAAUUGGAACAGCAGGUAAUAAAUUAGGCUUCAAUGGGAAUUCUUUUUUCUCUUUCUGUUUGCCACAGUACGAUGUAAAACUCAAGACAUGGCUAAGAGUAAUAGGGAAAUUAUGAUCUUUCGUCAUUUGUUAAAUUCUUAUUGUAUGACGAUUUCAAUCCCUACGAGCGAGCUGGAGUAUGUUUGUAUUAUAUUUUACAUGUGAUGUUGACAUGAAUCAAUUAUGAUGCUUUGAGACUUCUAAAUGAUGAUAUGGAACAAGGUUCUGGUAUGGCACACAUCGGUUUGAAACUCGAUUCUUGAAGAAAUGACCAUUCACAGAACGAAAACAUCACCACACCUAAAAUGCAAAGAUCUGAAGAGGGCAAUUAUGAUGAAGAAUCUUCAUAAUGAAGAUCACUUGUUGCGACGAUGAUGUUAUAUUCGGUCAUCAUAAUGAUGCGAUGUCUUACAGGUUUGAAGAUGAAUAUGACGAAAAUUUUGAUUUCGAGGAUUAGUUUGGAGAUACUAGAAAUCGUUGUUUUUGAACAAUGUCAAGUAGUCAAUUAAUUUUUGAGGUAGUGUUUACUACAAUUGGGUCAA